GACGAACCGUGCGAACGUUGUUCGGAAUCACUGGGCUUAAAGGGCGCGUAGGCGGCUUGCCAAGUCAGUGGUGAAAUCCUGCAGCUUAACUGUAGAAGUGCCUUUGAUACUGGCAAGCUAGAGCGAGGUAGGGGUCUGUGGAACUUCUGGUGGAGCGGUGAAAUGCGUUGAUAUCAGAAGGAACGCCGGUGGCGAAAGCGACGGACUGGACCUUUUCUGACGCUGAGGCGCGAAAGCCAGGGGAGCAAACGGG
rnacentral:rRNA from 1 species